rnacentral:rRNA from 1 species
AGCGAACGCUGGCGGCAUGCUUAACACAUGCAAGUCGCACGGAUCUUUCGGGAUCAGUGUCGGAGGGGUGAUUACCGCGUAGUGAUCUAUCCAUAGGUGGGGUACAACUCCGGGAAACUGGACCUUAUACCGCAUGAUACCUUAGCGUCAAAGCCUCAAGUCGCCUGUGGAGGAACCUGCGUUCGAUUAGAUAGUUGGUGAGGUAAAGGCCUACAAAGGCUAUGCUCGAUAGCUGGUUUGAGAGGAUGACCAGCCACACUGCGACAGGGACACGACGCAGAUUCCUACGGAAGGAAGGAGUGGGGAAUAUUGGACAAUGGGCGAGAGCAUGAUCCAGCCGUGCCGCGUGUGUGAAGAAGGUGUGAGGAUCGUAAAGCACUGUGGACGGGGACGAUGAUGACGGUACCCGUAGAAGAAGCCCCGGCUAACUUCGUG